CUCGCGCCGCGGCCACGCCGCCGCCAUGGAGCCCGGGCCGUGGGACGUGUGCGAGGAGACGGCCAUCCUGCACGGCGGGUUCCUGCUGGCCGCCCGGCUGACCCACCCGCGGCCGCUGCGGGAGCUGCGCAAAGCCGACUGGCCACGCGUGGGACCCCCCAUCACCGACGCCCUGGGGGAGAUCGGGGCCCGCUGCCCUUCGCCGCUGCAGCACAGCCUCUGGAAGAAGGAGGCUGUGGCCAUCGUCUGGGCUAAAGUCCUGCUGCCAGGCCCCCCGGCCGCCUCGCUGGACCAGGGAUGGAAGGAGGACGGCUUUUUCUCCGUGGGCAUGAUGAUCCCCGACGUUAACCGCACCGUCCUCUUCGAGCUGGUCAAGGCCCUCGGUGCGCCCCGGCUCUUCGUGCAGCUGCUGCUGGCGCUGCCCCAGGAUGUGCGCCAGAGCGAGCUGGAGCAGUUGGUGGAGUACGUCGCCAGCGAGACGUCCUCGUCGGACAUCGUGUUCUUCUUGGACGUCUGGUGGGAGGUGAUGAAACACAAGGAGGGAGAGGAAGACGCAACGGUCUCUACAUUCAGCGCUGUCAUAUGUCAGCAUGGAUGUGAGUCCUCUCUGGAUGAUGGUCUCCAGCCCCCAAAGAGGUUCAAGGGUGACCCAGGCGCUCUGAAUGACCCCCCUGCAGCCACCAGCCCGCUCACGGUCCUGAUUGAGGGGUUAAAGCAAACCUACCGGAGCAUCGCCCUGCCCCGCCUGAGGUGCUACGCCUUGGCCAACCUGGUGGAGCUGCUGACCGUGUUCGCCGAGCUAGAGCCAGAGGGCAGCCCCCUCCCUGUCGCGGAGUACCUGGACAAGGUCAGCUCUGUGGUCAGCCUCUGGACCAGCGACACUGAAAGUCAGUUCCACCACAGGGGGCUGGACGAGAAGGUGAAGGAAGCAGAGAGAAGCAUGAGCCUCUUGCCCGUGGCCAAACUCUCUCGUGAGGAGCUCUUUGUUGGUUUGGACUUUCUCUGCAGCUUGUUGCAUGCCUGGGGAGAGGAGCUGCAGGGCACCCUGAACAGCUCUGAGGAGCUCUGCUAUGAGAGCUACCGGCUCCUGGAUGCUCUUACCACUUUUGGGAAGAACCUGGUUUGCUUCUCAGAGACCAGAGACCUGGGUGAGGAUGAGACGCGUGUAGUGUUAGAGCUGACACAGAUCACCAACGACUUCCUCAAGGAGAUCAGUGUCAGCCUGAAGAGCAAGGAUUUGGACACUAGCCUUGUGUCUUCAGUUGCUAUGACAAUCAUUGAGCAAAAGCUGGAGCGACACGUGGAGAUGUGCUCCAUUUUUGUUUCUGAAAAGACCUGGGCCUUUUCCAAGGACUGGGUUGGCUGCCUUGUGAAAAGUAAAGCUCUCUUCCAGAAACCAGAGCUAGUUUUGAAAUUACUGGAGACGCUGGUGAACUUUGCCACAUCCCACCAAGACAAGGAGGCCCGAGAGCUACAGAUGCAAGUGACCAAAGCCAUCAUGGAAUGUUACACUGAGCUUUUGUUGACUGAUAAAAACAAAGUGAUCUCGGGUGUCCUGGCUUCCUGGGGCGGACCAGGUCUGUCCCUGAACUUGCAGGUUGUCAUGGAAGGCUUCCAGGAGGAUCUGAAUGUGACUUUCAACCAGAUCACAAAGAGUGUGUCUGAUGAAGGCUUGACCAGGGCUGUGGCUUCUGUGGCCAGGCUCACACUGCUGUACCCCGAGGCCACAGUGAAGCAGGUUUGUAGCCUUGCUGUAUUCAACCUAGGAGCGCACCAGUUCCUCGCACAAAUCCUGUGCUCCUUCCCAGCGCUGAGCUUCCUGGAGACCCACGAUGAUCCAGACAGGCCACGCAGCCUGGUGGUGAGGUGUCUGGAGGAGGCAGUGUGGGGGAGGCUUUCCACUGUGAGGGAAGAGGAGCAGUUCCUUGAGUUCCUGGCCUUCCUCAUGCAGCCAAGCUCAGCUGCCCCGCUUGUGUCACCUGCAGAGGUGACCAAAGCCUUUGUCCUUCCCUAUUUGAAGUCAGACUCUGCUCAAAUUGAGCUGAGCCUGCAGAUCCUCAGUAAGGUUUUGGGGGUACAGUCCUGUUCAGAAGAGCACUGGAUCAAGUCCUGUCACCCGUUCCCGCUUCUCCUCAGCCUCUGCAAGCUUCUAGAUGGCUACACAAAGUACUGGCAUCAGCCUAGGGACCAGCUUUUCCCUUCGCUGGAGACCAAAGACCUGUUGCUGAAAGUCCUCUGCCAGCUCUGUGAGGUGGUAAGACCAGAAACUGCCCCCUCCCCCGAGCUCUGGGUCCAGUCGCUGGCCUGGCUUCACAGGAAGGUGGCAUCACUGGACUGGACCAUUGGUCUUCGGCUGAAGAAGCUUUACGGAGAUCACUUCAAGAAUGAGGUCCCGGCGACGCUGUUUGAGAUCUGCACGCUUCCUGAGGACGAGUGGACGUCCCGGCCUUUGCCAGCCUAUGGACCAGGCAGCGGGCUCCUGGCAUGGAUGGAGUGCUGCUGCGUGUCCACGGCGCUCAGGGAGACGAUGCUGACGCUCCUCACGGUCAACGUGGACGACCCUGAAGAAGUGAAUCUCUUCAGCAAAGGGUUCCUGGUGGCCCUCAUACAGGUCCUCCCUUGGUGCAGCCACAGCGAAUGGAAGAGGCUCGUGCACGUGGUUGAAAACCUGCUGCAGAGGCAAAUCCUGCACGUGCCGUACACGCUGGAGUACGUGCAGUACAUGCCCCUGCUCAACCUCCGGCCGUUUGCCUGCUACCUCCAGUUCUCCGUGCUCUUCCUGCGGGGCUUCCAGCUCCUCUGCAGCUCCAGCUGUUCCACCUGGUUGCCGACAGAGGCUUGGCUCCACGUGGUCCAGCUGUACUGCGGCAGCCUCACAGACCUGCUGGACUCCGUCAAGAGCGUCGCGGGGCCCCCCUCGCAACCCACCGAGGACAGGACCUCCGUGCAGGAGGUGUCCUUCAUCUGCAUCCAGAUGUUCUGCCAUCUGCUGCACGUCGCCGCCAUGCUGCCGGACAAGGGGUGCGGCGAGCCACUGGUGGUGGCGGCGUUGGAGAUCCUCUCGCAGUACGAGACGUUCAGCAGUGCCGAUACGUCCCCCAGCAGCAGACUGCGGAGAGCCAACGAGAGGCACUUCCUGGAGUCCAUCGUGGACAACGUCAGUGACAAGGAGCUGCGUGGCAUCCUCCUGCAGAAGCUCAGCAAACUGGGAGCCUGCUUGGCCGGGGAGCCGGCUUGAGAAGCUGGAGCGGGCGACGGGAGAGUGCCAACCCAGCCUCAGGGGCCUCCUUACGUGGAGAGUUAACAGAGCUGUGGCUGGGACAAGAUCCGACACCCAAAGGAACUGGGUCCUCGGCCCUUCCAGCCGUUGUUUUUAUACAGAAUGAAAGGCACAGAGUGGCCA